UUUGUUCGGUCGCCGCCUCUCCGUCCUGUUACACGGCAUGUCGAGUUGCCAGUGGGGCACGGGGCACUGGGGCGCUGCGAGCGACCAAUCGGAAAACUUCAUCGCGGUGAUGCCGCUCCAUUAUCUUUCGCAUUACGUCGUUAUCAAACUCGGAGUUUUUAUUUUUUAUUAUAGUACAUCAUAAUAAUACCUAUAAUAUUUUUUUUAUAGUAUAAUAUGUUAUAUUGAUGUUUUUUUGUAAAGUUUCGUCAACAUUUUCCUGUUUCAACCCAAAAUCUCGUCUUAACCGCCAUUUUUCACCAUCAUUUUGUACAUCAUUUUUAUUUGUAUAAUUAGAACAAGCGAUAUUAGAAUCGUGAACGUCGAUCGACGUAUGGGGCCAUCUAAUUGUCUAGUUGUGUUUUGUUCUGGACUGUCAACAUUGGAAAAUAAAUUGAAUAUCUUUUGCACUAUUAUUAUUUUCAGUCAGCCAUUGUAGAGCAGUGACGUUUGUUUUGACACACAGUAUUAAGUAUUAACUAACUCUUAUAGAUUAUAUGGUUAAAAUGGUUAAAUUACUGUUUUUGAUUCAAUAAAUCAUAUUAUAUCACUGUAUUA